rnacentral:rRNA from 1 species
AGAGUUUGAUCCUGGCUCAGGACGAACGCUGGCGGCGUGCCUAACACAUGCAAGUCGAACGGAACUGUUUUGAAAGAUUUCUUCGGAAUGAAUUUGAUUUAGUUUAGUGGCGGACGGGUGAGUAACGCGUGAGUAACCUGCCUUCAAGAGGGGGAUAACAUUCUGAAAAGAAUGCUAAUACCGCAUGACAUAUCGGAAUCACAUGAUUUUGAUAUCAAAGAUUUUAUCGCUUGAAGAUGGACUCGCGUCCGAUUAGUUAGUUGGUGAGGUAACGGCUCACCAAGACCGCGAUCGGUAGCCGGACUGAGAGGUUGAACGGCCACAUUGGGACUGAGACACGGCCCAGACUCCUACGGGAGGCAGCAGUGGGGGAUAUUGCGCAAUGGGGGCAACCCUGACGCAGCAACGCCGCGUGAAGGAUGAAGGUUUUCGGAUUGUAAACUUCUUUUAUUAAGGACGAAAAAUGACGGUACUUAAUGAAUAAGCUCCGGCUAACUACGUGCCAGCAGCCGCGGUAAUACGUAGGGAGCAAGCGUUGUCCGGAUUUACUGGGUGUAAAGGGUGCGUAGGCGGCUUUGCAAGUCAGAUGUGAAAUCUAUGGGCUCAACCCAUAAACUGCAUUUGAAACUGUAGAGCUUGAGUGAAGUAGAGGCAGGCGGAAUUCCCCGUGUAGCGGUGAAAUGCGUAGAGAUGGGGAGGAACACCAGUGGCGAAGGCGGCCUGCUGGGCUUUAACUGACGCUGAGGCACGAAAGCGUGGGUAGCAAACAGGAUUAGAUACCCUGGUAGUCCACGCUGUAAACGAUGAUUACUAGGUGUGGGGGGACUGACCCCUUCCGUGCCGCAGUUAACACAAUAAGUAAUCCACCUGGGGAGUACG